rnacentral:sRNA from 1 species
UCAAAUUCUUGAAGCAAUAAAGCCCAUUUUGCCAAUCUUCCUGAUAAUACUGGUCUUGAGAUGAUGUAUUUGA